rnacentral:ncRNA from 1 species
AAAACUCAGGAGAGUCUCUUUGCUGUCUGUGGUGAGGGCGGCGAAAGAGCGCCGAAGGUGUAAGCGGCGGAUUCGGCUUUUGAUAGCGAAUGCUGCGAGUCUCUCAGGCAAAAGGAUGGAGGUAUAA